rnacentral:rRNA from 1 species
UAAGGAAUAUUGGUCAAUGGGCGGAAGCCUGAACCAGCCAUGCCGCGUGCAGGAUGACUGCCCUAUGGGUUGUAAACUGCUUUUGUCCAGGAAUAAACCUAGAUACGUGUAUCUAGCUGAAUGUACUGGAAGAAUAAGGAUCGGCUAACUCCGUGCCAGCAGCCGCGGUAAUACGGAGGAUCCGAGCGUUAUCCGGAUUUAUUGGGUUUAAAGGGUGCGUAGGCGGCCUAUUAAGUCAGGGGUGAAAUACGGUGGCUCAACCAUCGCAGUGCCUUUGAUACUGAUGGGCUUGAAUCCAUUUGAAGUGGGCGGAAUAAGACAAGUAGCGGUGAAAUGCAUAGAUAUGUCUUAGAACUCCGAUUGCGAAGGCAGCUCACUAAGCUGGUAUUGACGCUGAUGCACGAAAGCGUGGGGAUCGAACAGGAUUAGAUACCCUGGUAGUCCACGCCCUAAACGAUGAUAACUCGAUGUUGGCGAUAGACAGCCAGCGUCCAAGCGAAAGCGUUAAGUUAUCCACCUGGGGAGUACGCCCGCAAGGGUGAAACUUAAAGGAAUUGACGGGGUCAUAGCUGUUUCCU